UGCCCCGCCGACUCCGGCGACGCCGAGAACGGGCGUCACGACACUCUUUGUGAACACAGCCCUAGUUACAGAAUCCAAACCAAACAUUCUUCAUAACAUAUUGUUCUCGAUCUGAUCAUUCCCACCCAUAAAAGUAGAAAACAUAACGAGAUGCUAGCAUGUUCAACUGAUCUGCUCACCAUACAAAUGCCUUUUGCAGGC
rnacentral:lncRNA from 1 species